rnacentral:misc_RNA from 1 species
GAUGAAGAACGUAGCGAAAUGCGAUAAGUAAUGUGAAUUGCAGAAUUCAGUGAAUCAUCGAAUCUUAGAACGCACAUUGCGCCCGCCGGUAUUCCGGCGGGCAUGCCUGUCCGAGCGUCAUUUCACCACUCAAGCCCAGCUUGGUGUUGGGGCACCCGGCCGCCUGGCGGUCGGGGCCCCCAAGUACAUCGGCGGUCCCGCUGGGGGCUCCGAGCGCAGUAGCUCGCGGUAAAACGCGCCCCUCGCUCGGCGGCUCCUUCGGGCUUCCAGCCGCUAAACCCGUCCACCGACGCCCUUCGAGUUGACCUCGGAUCAGGUAGGAAUACCCGCUGAACUUAAGCAUAUCAAUAAGCGGAGGA